rnacentral:rRNA from 1 species
AGAGUUUGAUCCUGGCUCAGGAUGAACGCUGGCGGCGUGCUUAACACAUGCAAGUCGAGCGAAGCACCCCAUUUGAUUCCUUCGGGAUGAAGGUGGUGUGACUGAGCGGCGGACGGGUGAGUAACGCGUGGGCAACCUGCCUCACACAGGGGGAUAACAGCUAGAAAUGGCUGCUAAUACCGCAUAACCCGCUAGGGCCGCAUGGCCCGGACGGAAAAGAUUUUAUCGGUGUGAGAUGGACCCGCGUCUGAUUAGCUGGUUGGUGGGGUAACGGCCUACCAAGGCGACGAUCAGUAGCCGACCUGAGAGGGUGGCCGGCCACAUUGGGACUGAGACACGGCCCAAACUCCUACGGGAGGCAGCAGUGGGGAAUAUUGCACAAUGGGGGAAACCCUGAUGCAGCAACGCCGCGUGGGUGAAGAAGUAUUUCGGUAUGUAAAGCCCUAUCAGCAGGGAAGAAAAUGACAGUACCUGACUAAUAGCCCGGCUAACUACGUGCCAGCAGCCGCGGU